GACGAACGCUGGCGGCGCGCUUAACACAUGCAAGUCGAACGGAAAGGCCUGCUUUCCCUUGCGGCUUGCGGGUACUCGAGUGGCGAACGGGUGAGUAACACGUGAAUGAUCUGCCCCCAACUCGGGUAAAAGCCUGGGAAACUGGGUCUAAUUCCCGAAAGGCCUGCAGGGUGGUGCCUGUGGUGGCAAAAGAUUUUUAAGUGGACGGGGAUGAGCGCGCGGCCCAUCGGCGUGUUGGUGGGGGAAUGGCCUACGAGGGCGGCGACGGGCAGCCGGCGAGAGAGUGGGGACCGCCACUUUGGGGCUGAGCUGCGGCCCUGGCUCCUACGCGAGGCAGCAGUGGGGACUGUUGGCCGCAGUGCGGAAUCCUGCUGCAGCGACGCCGCGUGGGUGAUGCCGGCCUUCGUGUUGUAAACUCCAUUCGGUCGCGAGGAACCCACUUGGUUGGGAGGGUGGUGACUGUAGUGGUAGAGGAAGCACCGGCUAACUACGUG
rnacentral:rRNA from 1 species